rnacentral:tRNA from 1 species
GCCGAGAUAGCUCAGCUGGUAGAGCAACGGUUUCGUAAACCGUAGGUCGUGGGUUCAAGUCCCAUUCUCGGCU